rnacentral:rRNA from 1 species
UACAGAGGGUGCAAGCGUUAAUCGGAAUUACUGGGCGUAAAGCGUGCGUAGUCGGUUAUUUAAGUCAGGUGUGAAAUCCCCGGGCUCAACCUGGGAAUUGCAUUUGAGACUGGAUAGCUAGAGUUCGGCAGAGGGAAGUGGAAUUUCAGGUGUAGCGGUGAAAUGCGUAGAUAUCUGAAGGAACAUCAGUGGCGAAAGCGACUUCCUGGACCAGAACUGACGAUCAGGCACGAAAGCGUGGGGGGCAAACAGG